GUGGAAGUCAGAAGAGGUUGUGGG
rnacentral:piRNA from 1 species